UAAACCUCAGUUUUUGAAAUAUAGUUUUGUCAGGACUAAGUAAAUAAGGUUUAU
rnacentral:tRNA from 1 species